rnacentral:rRNA from 1 species
CAAGUCGUAACACGGUAAGUGUACCGGAAGGUGCACUUGGAUCAAACCCAGGGUGUGGCUGAGUUAGUUAAGCAUCUCACUUACACCGAGAAGACAUCCAUGCAAGUUGGAUCACCCUGAGCCAAACAGCUAGCUUACCCACCAAAAUUAACCAAACAGUAUAAAUAAAAUAAAAUAGACAAAACACCAAAAACUAAACCAUUCUUUUACCUGAGUAUGGGAGACAGAAAAGGUUCAACCAAAGCAAUAGAAACAGUACCGCAAGGGAAAGCUGAAAGAGAAAUGAAACAACCCAUAUAAGCACAAAAAAGCAAAGAUUAAAUCUUGUACCUUUUGCAUCAUGAUUUAGCCAGUAAACCCAAGCAAAGAGACCUUUAGUUUGAAACCCCGAAACCAGGUGAGCUACCCCGAGACAGCCUAUUUAGGGCCAACCCGUCUCUGUGGCAAAAGAGUGGGAAGAGCUCCGGGUAGAAGUGACAGACCUACCGAACCUGGUGAUAGCUGGUUGCCUAGGAAACGAAUAGAAGUUCAGCCUCGUACACCUUAAAUCAAACAGACACAUAAACAAGAUAUCAAGAGAAAUACACGAGAGUUAGUUAAAGGGGGUACAGCCCCUUUAACAAAGGAUACAACCUUAUCAGGAGGAUAAAGAUCAUAAUAUAUAAAACAUACUGUUCUAGUGGGCCUAAAAGCAGCCAUCUAAACAGAAAGCGUA